rnacentral:rRNA from 1 species
UACGUAGGGGGCAAGCGUUGUCCGGAAUCAUUGGGCGUAAAGCGCGCGUAGGCGGCCCGGUAAGUCCGUUGUAAAAGUCGAAGGCUCAACCUUCGAAAGCCGAUGGAUACUGCCGGGCUAGAGUCCGGAAGAGGCGAGUAGAAUUCCUGGUGUAGCGGUGGAAUGCGCAGAUAUCAGGAGGAAUACCCAUAGCGAAGGCAGCUCGCUGGGACGGUACUGACGCUAAGGCGCGAAAGCGUGGGGAGCGAACAGG